rnacentral:rRNA from 1 species
CACGUAGGGUGCGAGCGUUGUCCGGAAUUAUUGGGCGUAAAGAGCUCGUAGGCGGUCUGUCGCGUCCGUUGUGAAAACUCGAGGCUCAACCUCGGGCUUGCAGUGGAUACGGGCAGGCUAGAGUUCGGUAGGGGAGACUGGAAUUCCUGGUGUAGCGGUGAAAUGCGCAGAUAUCAGGAGGAACACCGGUGGCGAAGGCGGGUCUCUGGGCCGAUACUGACGCUGAGGAGCGAAAGCGUGGGGGAGCGAACAGG